GGAAACACCCGAUGGCGAAAGGCAGAUCUCUGGGCCGUAAACUGACGCUUGAGGAGCGAAAGGGUGGGGAGCAAACAGGCUUUAGAUACCCUGGUAGUCCACCCCGUAAACGUUGGGAACUAGUUGUGGGGACCAUUCCACGGUUUCCGUGACGCAGCUAACGCAUUAAGUUCCCCGCCUGGGGAGUACGGCCGCAAGGCUAAAACUCAAAGGAAUUGACGGGGACCCGCACAAGCGGCGGAGCAUGCGGAUUAAUUCGAUGCAACGCGAAGAACCUUACCAAGGCUUGACAUACACCAGAACACCGUAGAAAUACGGGACUCUUUGGACACUGGUGAACAGGUGGUGCAUGGUUGUCGUCAGCUCGUGUCGUGAGAUGUUGGGUUAAGUCCCGCAACGAGCGCAACCCUCGUUCUAUGUUGCCAGCACGUAAUGGUGGGAACUCAUGGGAUACUGCCGGGGUCAACUCGGAGGAAGGUGGGGAUGACGUCAAAUCAUCAUGCCCCUUAUGUCUUGGGCUUCACGCAUGCUACAAUGGCCGGUACAAAGGGCUGCAAUACCGUGAGGUGGAGCGAAUCCCAAAAAGCCGGUCCCAGUUCGGAUUGAGGUCUGCAACUCGACCUCAUGAAGUCGGAGUCGCUAGUAAUCGCAGAUCAGCAACGCUGCGGUGAAUACGUUCCCGGGUCUUGUACACACCGCCCGUCAAGUGCAUGAAAGUCGGUAACACCUGAAGCCGGUGGCCCAACCCUUGUGGAGGG
rnacentral:rRNA from 1 species